rnacentral:rRNA from 1 species
CCCGCCGGCGACCGGCGCACGGGUGAGUAACACGUAUGGAACCUGCCCGUAGCAGGGGGAUAAGCGGAAGAAAUUCCGUCUAAUACCGCGUAACAACCCAUGGAGGCAUCUCGGUGGGUUUAAAGGAAGCGAUUCCGGCUACGGAUGGUCAUGCGUCGCAUUAGCUUGUUGGCGGGGUAACGGCCCACCAAGGCGACGAUGCGUAGGGGUUCUGAGAGGAAGGUCCCCCACACUGGUACUGAGACACGGACCAGACUCCUACGGAAGGCAGCAG